UUCCCGUCUCCAGGGUGACGGGGUUGCAGCGCUCACCCACAUGCCUCCUUUGAUCAUUUUCCUCUUGAUCUUCGGCGCACCGCUUCCCCGCGCUCCUCUCCAUCCCCAUCUCGUCGGGGGGAGGCGGGAGAAGCUGUAAAAAGGAGGGCUGCUGUGAAAAUGAAUGAAUAAGUGAGCCCAGGCAGGAGGACAGGGGGUUUUUGGUGGGACCACACUCCCGUGACACCCAUCUGCUGUGCCAGGGCAGCGACACCACAGGCUUAGAGGAGGAAUUAUCCAGCUUUUCCCAUUCUUUCACCCCCGUCCUACACACCCUUCCUGGAACAGGUUUUUCCUGGCUGAGAGAGCCACAGGGCAGACCGGGAUCGUUUUCUUCCUCCCUAAAUCUCAGCCGAGACUAACAACAUCUGUCAGGGUGGAGAUGGAGCAGGGACGGUCGGCUUCCCCACGUGGAGCUGUUUUGCUGCAGCUCCUCAGAAAAAAGGAAAAAAAAGGGGAAUUUUGGAGCAGGGUGGGAACAGCUCCAAAAUCCGUGGGGAUUUGGCGGUGGCCAGCAGCAAAGCUGAAGGGAUCGGAGAGCGCCAAGUGAUUUCUAGCAGCAUUU